UGAGGAAUAUUGCGCAAUGGACGAAAGUCUGACGCAGCAACGCCGCGUGUGGGAUGAAGGCCUUUUAGGUCGUAAACCACUGUAGCAGGGGAAAAAUAAGUCACUCGGUGAUUUUGAUGGUACCCUGAAAGUAAGCCUCGGCUAACUACGUGCCAGCAGCCGCGGUAAUACGUAGGAGGCGAGCGUUGUCCGGAUUUACUGGGUGUAAAGGGUCCGCAGGCGGGCUAUUAAGUCGGUGGUGAAAUACUUCAGCUUAACUGAAGAACUGCCUCCGAUACUGAUAGUCUUGAAUAUAGGAGAGGGCAAUGGAAUUCCAGGUGUAGCGGUGAAAUGCUUAGAUAUCUGGAAGAACACCGGUUGCGAAGGCUGUUGCCUGGCCUAUUAUUGACGCUCAUGGACGAAAGCGUGGGGAUCAAACAGG
rnacentral:rRNA from 1 species